UCUUCCCAUUCCGAACAGAGAAGUUAAGCCUGCCUGCGCCAAUGAUACUGCCCCUGUGGUGGAAAAGUAGGUCGUCGCCAAAG
rnacentral:rRNA from 1 species